rnacentral:rRNA from 1 species
UAUUGCACAAUGGGAGAAAGCCUGAUGCAGCAACGCCGCGUGCGCGAUGAAGGCCUGCGGGUCGUAACGCUCUGUCCUCAAGGAAGAUAAUGACGGUCCUUGAGGAGGAAGCCCCGGCCAACUACGUGCCAGUAGCCGCGGUAAUACGUAGGGGGCUAGCGUUAUCCGGAAUUACUGGGCGUAAAGGGUGCGUAGGUGGUUUCUUAAGUCAGAGGUGAAAGGCUACGGCUCAACCGUAGUAAGCCUUUGAAACUGGGAAACUUGAGUGCAGGAGAGGAGAGUGGAAUUCCUAGUGUAGCGGUGAAAUGCGUAGAUAUUAGGAGGAACACCAGUUGCGAAGGCGGCUCUCUGGACUGUAACUGACACUGAGGCACGAAAGCGUGGGGAGCAAACAG